AAGACACCCACACGAAAACCGGAAGGCAGCCUUGAGUGUCGUGUGAUAAGUUUAUCGGCGCCAUCUCGCCAGCCACCCCCUCCCCAGGGUCUCGAUCAAUGGGACACAGUGCGCCUCCAGUCUGAGAGGCUUCCUUGGGUGGGUGGUGGGACUGCAAGGUGGCCCUUUGGCAGAGUCUACAAGAGCUAAAUUAGGUCGCCAAGUGGCCCAUUACCCACAUAAUCUAGCCCUACCUUCCAGAACAACUGAGAAAUGCCUCAGUGGGCAGAGCCUCAAGUCCACCAGAUAACAGGCCCCAACUUGACCUCUUGUCAUCAGAAAUCACUGCCAAGUUUCCAAGCCAGGGAAAGAGCAACAGUCGUGAGGCCUGUUCCACGCACCCACCUAUGAUCCUCUCGCUGGAGGCAGAGAUCACCAGCCUAGAACAGAGCUGAAGAAAGACAGAUACUCUGUGUUGGAAAUUGCAAAAGCUCUCUGCAAGAACAACUCCAUCCGAACCCUGCCCUACGACACUCAACCAAGCUCUAGCAAAGCUUCUGGCAGCCUCAGGCCACACCCCUGGGACAACCCACCGCCGCUUUGCACUCCUGUGUGGAAAAGCUCAGGGCUGCCAAAAGAAUUC
rnacentral:lncRNA from 1 species